CAUCUUACGCAAGGAGUAGCGCUUCAACCCAGUGUAGAUGAAUUGCGUUUGUUUUGAAAAUCUUCACUGUUACGUACGAGCGAAAUGAACAAAUGAGUUCAUUAUACAUCAACAAAUACGCGUGAUAUUCUCCAGUGCUUGAUUAUCCAACCCAAAGUUGUCAAAAUCAGAAAUGAUCCUUAACAGCAAAAUAAUCAAAUUCAUUUUGGGCAAAAUGAUUAUUUUGAACUUUGUCAACUCCAGAGCCUAAAACCGCGAUUUCAUCAUCAGUUCAACAUGAGGCAAUUAUUUGCCACACGUCCUUCAGUGCUAUAUUUGUGUAAAAUGAAAAUAAUCAUUUUGCAUUUGAUCCUCAAAACCAUCCCCACCAAGAUGAAGACGAAUAUUAAUAUUGACAACAACGGAGGCGAUAAUGAACAUCCAGCCACGAAUGAAGCAAAACAAAUGUUGGCUAAGAUACUCAGAGGUUGCCUUGAUCAAGGGAAUUUUGUUAUGUCAAAAUUCAGAUUCAUGCAAAGUAGUUGGUCUAUCUGUUAAGGUUGUCUUCAUUUUCAGCUAAGUUGAGUGUAGAAGGGAUGAUUUUUAUCAGCACUGCUCGGAAGGUCCCGGAACAGGAGAGAUCGUGAUGGGAGGCAUGCUCAAACGAGGCAUCCACAGGUUUUUUGAACCGUCUACAAAUUCACGGAACAAAAUUCCUUUCGGCCAUGUAUCCGAUGUAAGAGCAACGUAGUUUGGGAGCCAAUCCGACUUUGUACGAGAAGAAGCUCAUACGGCUGAUGUCGGAUCCUUUUUUAACUAGCGGCACAACCUUAAUCGGAUCAUUGCACUGUACACAACCUUUGGCCAGCUUCUUGAUUGGUUCCGUAUUCACGCUAGGAUGUAUACGAGAAAGCACAGCCAAAACAGCUCGGUGGGUUCAGGGACAGUAAGGACCACAGUACAGACAUUGUCAUCCGUUACUGCUUUAGUACCACACCAACAAGUGGUUCGCUGGUGAGCGAGCCUUCAUCGCGGCGCCGUUUUAAUGGCGGUUGACGCAUAAGAUCUCCGGAAUCCAAGUGUGUUGCAGUUGUCAAUGCGAUUCGCUUCGACAGCUGAGCGAUCUGCUGUCCUUGCUUAGCCAGUUUCUUCCUAAGCUCAGCGGGUGCGAUUUUCUGUCUCUCGAUGCGAUGAUAGAAUUAAUCGCACUACCAAACGACGAAACAGCAGUUUUGAACCGAGCACAUUUCAUCAGCUUCGCGCCCUCGUUGCGCAUCCAAAACUAGUGUGGACAAUAUUCAGAAAAGCCUUGUUCAACUUUGUGCCACCGCAUUUCAGGUGCAGGAGACGGAUUCUGGUUUAGCACAUUGGUCACAGGCGGAAGUCAUGCUGACUCAGUUUCCAAAAAUAAUUUAGAAACAGCGGUGGAGAUGCUCUAAUACGCAAGGAGGAGUUGGACUCUGCAGAGCGUCUGAUAUCGACAAUAACACAACAGUAAACACUACAAGAUGUCCGAUUGGAUAACUUUUUCACUGUUUUUACAACACGAAAUAUGCUGCAAAUAGACGAUUAUCGCAACGAACUGCACUUUCCACUAACAACCGGUACAAUUUUGCAAGUCUACACAACGGGAAAAACGAAGAACGAUAGCCCGUGCGAUAACAAAUCAUCAAAUUUAGCAAUGCAAAAUCACGACGAUGUGAAUAACAACAACAAUGCAACAGUGAAAUUAUCGUUUCUCGGUGCGUUUACUGUAGAAACACUGGAAUAAGAGACCAGCG